CGACAGAAUAAACAUUCGCUCAACCUAAGCAAACUCGGUUUUAGAAAAAAUUUUUUAAAGGCAGCACAGCUGCGCCUGCGCUGUAGCCAUAGGGGCGGGAGGUCAACUCGAGGGCGAGAGGAAGGCGGUGCCAGAGAAGGCGUGCCUGUUUUCCAAACUCCCACUUUCCCCACGGUGAGUAUCUGUCCCAGCGUUGGCCUGCCUGACAUGAGUGACGGUAUGUCUUAACCAAUCAUCGCAGAACCCAGCUAGUUGCCAGGGUGAAGCAGCGCCCGCCUCUCCAGCGGAAGGGGAUACUGGUGCGUGGAACCGGAACUGACGCUGCAGGUGAAUGCAAUGCUUUGGGAGUGUUGCUAUUUUCCAGUUAGCCCGGCUGACUGCGUUCAAGUUGGAAGCCUGGAGGAAAAGCGUCCUAAUCGUCCGCAGGACAGGCUACGCUGUCUCUUUGCUGUACCUGGGCUCACGACUCGGAACCUCAGGGAGAGAGCCGAACAGAACGGGCGGAGAAGAAAGGCUGAGAACUAGAGUGAGGACUUUGAUAUUCGAGACUGAGGGCUCCGGAGUGCGAGCGCUCGCCUAUGAUAGGCCUGUUGGCAUCUUCAGGAUCCCACACAACUUCUUCGAUUGCAGAAGGCUGGAAUGAGAUAACAAUAAACUUGCUGGAGUUGCAGAGAAGGCCACAACAAACUCGCUGCGGUGCCUUCGUGGUGGACUUCACAUCCGGUUCCUGCUCCGGGUGUGACCUGCGUACCGCCGAGAGUUCUGGAACCCGUGCCGUGAUCUCUUUAUCCGGGUCUCGCUGUUCCCGUCGUGCAUUUCCUUUGAAGCAGAAGGCUGGAAUGAGAUAACAAUAAACUUGCUGGAGUUGCAGAGAAGGCCACAACAAACUCGCUGCGGUGCCUUCGUGGUGGACUUCACAUCCGGUUCCUGCUCCGGGUGUGACCUGCGUACCGCCGAGAGUUCUGGAACCCGUGCCGUGAUCUCUUUAUCCGGGUCUCGCUGUUCCCGUCGUGCGCCGCGCACUACUGUAGCCCCCCCCCCUCAUCCGGGUUCUCUCCC
rnacentral:lncRNA from 1 species